CGAUCGGGGUAGCCAACAGGGCUGGACGUGUGAGCGCUUCGACAAGAUAAGGGAAAAGCAGCUGAUAUUUUUAGCGUUCGGGUCGGGCCUCGUGGAAGGGUGCGUUACCACCGGAGAGGUCUGCGUCGACGAAGAAAAGAACCAAGUAUGACUGA